UAACAAAUAGGGUGGUUGUCAUCAUAGCCCACACGUUAUCCCCAAGAAAAAUCAAUUACUCACCAUAAGAACCUUCCAUAUACUAACAUAUGACACCUAAUGAUGUUUAAAGAGAAAUAAACAAUAAUAAAUGGAAAUUAAAGUAAUGCUUGGAUAUUAAAAACGUAAGGACAAAAAACGUUCCUUCACAAAACCAAUGCACCUCUUUCUUAAUCUAACACCCUUACCUCCGAUCCACUUCUUCUCUCCAAAAGGGUUUAUGAAAAAAAAGUUCAACUCACCACCAAGUUUAUCGCACAACAAAAAUAUUCAAACACAAAGAUCUACCUCAAACGAUACAAAACCCCAAAUCUCAAAAUUAGCAACGAAAUUUUGCAAACAACCUCCAAAAGACCCAAAUCGUGACUUUACUCGCACAACAAAAAUAUUCAAACACAAAGAUCUACCUCAAACGAUACAAAACCCCAAAUCUCAAAAUUAGCAACGAAAUUUUGCAAACAACCUCCAAAAGACCCAAAUCGUGACUUUACAGAAAAAAAAACUAAAAAUUGAAACAAAUCGAACCAUCAUCAUCAAUAAAUUCAAGCAAUCUAAAGGAGGCUCCUACUCGGUUAAUCACGGCGAACAUGAAGGCACAAUCAAUUUGGAUCCAAACAUGAAGAAAUUUACCUGACCGGAGCUAGUCCGACGAAGUUCUCUCUGGCAACCCUCAGAUAAGCCUAUUUCCUCUUCUUUUCGGUUUUACGAUGUCCUCCUCCUUCUAUUUUGAUGCUGUAUUAUCCUUUAAUGUUAGGGUUUUUUUUUGUGUUUUUACAAAAUAUUUUUGAUUGUUCUGCUCGGAUUCUCAAAAACGUGUGUUUUGUUGUUUAGGGUUUGAUGUUAACAAAGAAAUAUUUUUGAUAACUUCUUCUUGGAUUUUUCAGAACCGUGUUCUCGGCUUGGUUUGAGUUAAAAAUAUUUUGAUUGUUCUGUUGGAUCUCAAAAACGUGUCCUCUCACUGUUAAUUGAUUUUGUUAUAUAUGAAUGUUGGUUUCUGUGAGAUAACUUGUUGGAUCUCGUUUCCAGAUUUUGUGGGAUGUUUGCUUUGUGGAUUUAAGGUUGUUUAUUUGGAUAUUGGAAUAUGUUUUUUGGGCGCUUUCUUUGAUUCAUCGUGCAACAUACUUACCUGUUUAUUUAAUCAUUUAUUUUCCAGUUUGUUUUAAGUGAUUAUUUGAUAAGCUGUUUUCUUUGAAUUGUUUUUUUUGCAGGUGAAGUGAUGUUGAUUAGGAAAGGGGGCGGCGCCAACUUGGGAUUGGGGAACUGGAGUUUCCAAAAGAGCUUUUGGAAAAGUCUUGGAAGCUGCUUCAAUUUGUUGGAUAUUCAACUUGUUCAAUUUUUCUUCAAAUUUAUUUAGCUGUAACAAAUCUUUUGGAUUGUAACUUUAGGGACUAAUCAUGUAACCUCUGUUGAAUUAUUUGUAAGAUAUAAUUUAAUUUUAAACUCUUUUGAUUAUGCCUUGGCCUUUUUUAGAGUAAUUUGUAACAUUUGGAUUUAAUUAGAACUUUGAAUUUAAUUGGAACUUUGACUAUGAAAAUUGGGGUUGAAACGUAUAACCUCCUGUAUCAUGUACUGGCCCCCCUUUUUUGAAUUAUUUGUAACAAUUAAAUAUGCAAUUAAUCCCUUUUAAAAGAAACAUUCUAAGCUUUAUUCUAAUAUCUCAUUUGUCUGAGUUAUUUAAAAUGCUUAAAAUCUAAUCCAAAUUAAAAAUGGAUUUGGCCACAUUAAUAAAAUUUGGAUUUUCAAUU
rnacentral:lncRNA from 1 species